rnacentral:rRNA from 1 species
UACGUAGGGCGCAAGCGUUGUCCGGAAUUACUGGGCGUAAAGCGUGCGCAGGCGGUUGUGCAAGACAGAUGUGAAAUCCCCGGGCUUAACCUGGGAACUGCAUUUGUGACUGCACGGCUAGAGUGUGUCAGAGGGGGGUAGAAUUCCACGUGUAGCAGUGAAAUGCGUAGAGAUGUGGAGGAAUACCGAUGGCGAAGGCAGCCCCCUGGGAUAACACUGACGCUCAUGCACGAAAGCGUGGGGAGCAAACAGG